GUACUGCUGAGGAGUCCCAUACUAGAACGAAAUAGCUGUUCAGUAC
rfam:Schistosoma mansoni strain Puerto Rico chromosome 2, complete genome